rnacentral:rRNA from 1 species
ACCUGCGGAGGGAUCAUUACCGAGUUUACAACUCCCAAACCCCUGUGAACAUACCACUUGUUGCCUCGGCGGAUCAGCCCGCUCCCGGUAAAACGGGACGGCCCGCCAGAGGACCCCUAAACUCUGUUUCUAUAUGUAACUUCUGAGUAAAACCAUAAAUAAAUCAAAACUUUCAACAACGGAUCUCUUGGUUCUGGCAUCGAUGAAGAACGCAGCAAAAUGCGAUAAGUAAUGUGAAUUGCAGAAUUCAGUGAAUCAUCGAAUCUUUGAACGCACAUUGCGCCCGCCAGUAUUCUGGCGGGCAUGCCUGUUCGAGCGUCAUUUCAACCCUCAAGCACAGCUUGGUGUUGGGACUCGCGUUAAUUCGCGUUCCCCAAAUUGAUUGGCGGUCACGUCGAGCUUCCAUAGCGUAGUAGUAAAACCCUCGUUACUGGUAAUCGUCGCGGCCACGCCGUUAAACCCCAACUUCUGAAUGUGACCUCGGAUCAGGUAGA